rnacentral:ncRNA from 1 species
AUCAAAGCGUAGAAGAGAAGAGUAACUAACGGUCAACGGUAAAAAGAGACUCCGGUGGGUGAAAAAGGAGACCAGAAACCUUAGUGAAGAUGAACUUGGAGCUUGUUUUACUAGUAAAUGAGUAAAACCGGACUGCGACCGUUAACUCGCCGGAUAUCUGAUAGUAUCGUUGAGGCAUUAUUUGUGAGGAUAAUGCAAAUAAGGGUGGUAACACGACGCAUUCGUCCCUUUU